UGUUCUGUAGCUUAGUUGGUUAAAGCGCCGGACUAGCGAUAACGGAGUAGUGGGUUCGAAUCCCACCAAAACAA
rfam:Aedes albopictus isolate Foshan contig124211, whole genome shotgun sequence.